rnacentral:rRNA from 1 species
ACUCCUACGGGAGGCAGCAGUCGAGGAUCUUCGGCAAUGGGCGCAAGCCUGACCGAGCGACGCCGCGUGAGCGAUGAAGGCCAUUAGGUUGUAAAGCUCUGUCGAGGGGGAACAAGCCGCAAGGUUGAGUGAUCCCUGGAGGAAGCACGGGCUAAGUUCGUGCCAGCAGCCGCGGUAAUACA